rnacentral:lncRNA from 1 species
CAAAGGACCCCUCUUUCAUUAAUCUACUUUGUUAUGGCCCAGAAAACAAGACAAUCGAUGGAAGAGAAACCUGCCACGUCUGAUUGUAAUAAACAUGUUUUUACAUACUGACAGGGAAAUGUUUAAACAGUAACAUCAAAAUAUUCUGCUUCAAUGGUAUUACAGGCUGUGAGUUCCUCAAAGGCAGAAGAUGUGUCUUCUUUAUCUUUAUAGCCCUUGAACUUGGCAUGGAACAUCACAGGGCAAGUAUUCAAUAAAGGUUUGUCGAAUGAGUGAAUGCAUGAAUGAAGAAAUGAAUAAUAAAUUGAGUAGAAGAAGCCAACUAUAAUAGGAUGACAACACUGGGGCCUCUCUCAUAGCUACACACCAAUUUGUUCCAUGUGGAAUUUGAUACAUACG